rnacentral:rRNA from 1 species
GUAGGUGGCAAGCGUUGUCCGGAAUUAUUGGGCGUAAAGCGCGCGCAGGCGGUUCUUUAAGUCUGAUGUGAAAGCCCACGGCUCAACCGUGGAGGGUCAUUGGAAACUGGAGAACUUGAGUACAGAAGAGGAAAGCGGAAUUCCACGUGUAGCGGUGAAAUGCGUAGAGAUGUGGAGGAACACCAGUGGCGAAGGCGGCUUUCUGGUCUGUAACUGACGCUGAGGCGCGAAAGCGUGGGGAGCAAACAGGAUUAGAUACCCUGGUAGUCCACGCCGUAAACGAUGAGUGCUAAGUGUUAGGGGGUUUCCGCCCCCCUUAGUGCUGCUGCUAACGCAUUAAGCACUCCGCCUGGGAGUACGGCCGCAAGGCUG